UUUAUACUCCCUCCGUCUCAAAAUUCUUGUCUUAGAUUAGUCUAGAUAUGGAUGUAUAUAAUACCAAACUGUGACUUGAUACAUCCGUAUUUAGACAAAUCUAAGAAAAGAAUUUUGGGAUGGAGGAAGUAUUUC
rfam:Triticum aestivum genome assembly, contig: Triticum_aestivum_CS42_TGACv1_scaffold_328051_4BS